GCUCAACCGGGGAGGGUCAUUGGAAACUGGGGAACUUGAGUGCAGAAGAGGAGAGUGGAAUUCCACGUGUAGCGGUGAAAUGCGUAGAGAUGUGGAGGAACACCAGUGGCGAAGGCGACUCUCUGGUCUGUAACUGACGCUGAGGCGUGAAAGCGUGGGGAGCGAACAGGAUUAGAUACCCUGGUAGUCCACGCCGUAAACGAUGAGUGCUAAGUGUUAGAGGGUUUCCGCCCUUUAGUGCUGCAGCAAACGCAUUAAGCACUCCGCCUGGGGAGUACGGUCGCAAGACUGAAACUCAAAGGAAUUGACGGGGGCCCGCACAAGCGGUGGAGCAUGUGGUUUAAUUCGAAGCAACGCGAAGAACCUUACCAGGUCUUGACAUCCUCUGACAACCCUAGAGAUAGGGCUUCCCCUUCGGGGGCAGAGUGACAGGUGGUGCAUGGUUGUCGUCAGCUCGUGUCGUGAGAUGUUGGGUUAAGUCCCGCAACGAGCGCAACCCUUGAUCUUAGUUGCCAGCAUUCAGUUGGGCACUCUAAGGUGACUGCCGGUGACAAACCGGAGGAAGGUGGGGAUGACGUCAAAUCAUCAUGCCCCUUAUGACCUGGGCUACACACGUGCUACAAUGGGCAGAACAAAG
rnacentral:rRNA from 1 species